GGAAGUAAAAGUCGUAACAAGGUCUCCGUUGGUGAACCAGCGGAGGGAUCAUUACCGAGUUUACAACUCCCAAACCCAAUGUGAACGUUACCAAACUGUUGCCUCGGCGGGAUCUCUGCCCCGGGUGCGUCGCAGCCCCGGACCAAGGCGCCCGCCGGAGGACCAACCAAAACUCUUUUGUAUACCCCCUCGCGGGUUUUUUAUAUCUGAGCCAUCUCGGCGCCUCUCGUAGGCGUUUCGAAAAUGAAUCAAAACUUUCAACAACGGAUCUCUUGGUUCUGGCAUCGAUGAAGAACGCAGCGAAAUGCGAUAAGUAAUGUGAAUUGCAGAAUUCAGUGAAUCAUCGAAUCUUUGAACGCACAUUGCGCCCGCCAGUAUUCUGGCGGGCAUGCCUGUCCGAGCGUCAUUUCAACCCUCGAACCCCUCCGGGGGGUCGGCGUUGGGGAUCGGCCCUUUACGGGGCCGGCCCCGAAAUACAGUGGCGGUCUCGCCGCAGCCUCUCCUGCGCAGUAGUUUGCACACUCGCAUCGGGAGCGCGGCGCGUCCAUUGCCGUAAAACACCCAACUUUCUGAAAUGUUGACCUCGGAUCAGGUAGGAAUACCCGCUGAACUUAAGCAUAUCAAUAAGCGGAGGA
rnacentral:rRNA from 1 species